UUGGUAAACCAUUUUUUAUACUGCUUCUAGCCAUUCCGUUAUCGAUUUCCUCUUUGCAUAUAAUAUUUGAUAAAGGAUUUAUCCACCAAACCUGUUUGAAUACACACACAUAUAUUUGUUGUGGAUUUUGUACACACCCAAAAUAUUUUACACCCCUUUUGAUGUAAUGAAAACCUUGAUUCAGUGCUAACAUCUCUCCGGUCAGUGACAGCAUAAGACUUAUGCCACAUACUGUGGUAAGAAAACCACCAUAUCCCUGGCAAUAUUUUUACGCCAAAUGAAUGCCAAGAUGAAUCCAGCUUUAGUUUUUUUGGUUAUGUCACUUCAGUGGAUCACAGGUUUCGCUGAUGUAAAUGAUGUUACACAGUCUCCACGCGUUAUGUCACCUUUCAAGGAAAAUGCCAUGCUGACCUGCAGUCACACAAAAGAUGAUACUUAUAACAGAAUGUACUGGUUUCGUCAACAUCAAGG